GCAGAGGGCUGUAAGUGUGGUGGCCCGUCUGGGCUUUCGCCUGCAGGCAUUCCCCCCGGCCUUGUGUCGUCCACUUAGUUGCGCACAGGAGGUGCUCCGCAGGACACCGCUCUAUGACUUCCACCUGGCCCACGGCGGGAAAAUGGUGGCGUUUGCGGGUUGGAGUCUGCCAGUGCAGUACCGGGACAGUCACACUGACUCGCACCUGCACACACGCCAGCACUGCUCGCUCUUUGACGUGUCUCAUAUGCUGCAGGUGAGCCAGGGGAGCACACUGGCCAUCUGAUCAGGCCUUCCUCCCUGUUUACAGUGGUCCACUCCUUGGCUUUGUUUGCUGUGAACUGGAUUCCAAGGACAGCCUUCUCAGAAGAGCUAGAGGUCAUGGGGGUGUCAUGGAUAGGUCAAUGGCCCCAAGGAAAUGAGCUCAGAGGGUCUCAUCAUCUCAUCCUUCUAGCUUGCCCCCAUUAAAUGGUGUGCCUUAAUGUCCCGGGUUUUCCAGGGCUGACACCCACUCUCAUGUAUUGGGCUGGAUGUUGGUUUGAAAAGGGGUUAUUUCAGGAAGGUGCUAGGUCCUGUCCAGUUCCCUGGCAGUCCCCCCACACAGAGUGACUGGGGGAGG
rnacentral:lncRNA from 1 species